AUAGUUGACAAUUUAAGCUUUCUUUAUCUAUGAUGUUGAUUCAGAAAUUUUCUUAAAUGGUCUCAACUUCAUAUUCCCUCACAUAAUUGUGGCCUGUUAUAUAUAAACAUAAAGCUGCUUUUCUUGUGUGUUUAGCCUAUUUUUUUCUGUAAUUCCACAUGGUACAGAAAAACACUGAGCUGCAUAAAAGAACUCUUAAACACAUUUCCACAACCACUGGUUAAAAUCCACAUUCCAAGAAUGUGUGUAUAUACAAGAAUAUAUAUUCUUUUCAUGGAAGGAGCUGCCACUUUCAGCAGAUUCUCAAGGGUGUCUGCCACUCAUAAAAGAGACAAGUCUCACUCUGUUGCCCAGGCUGGAGUGCAGUGGUGCAGUCUCAGCUCACUGCAACCUCUGGCUCCCAGGUUCAAGCGAUUUUCCUUGAGUAGCUGGGAUUACAGGACCUUCAGUACCUUCUAGCUGUGGAGUCCUAAUCAGGGGAAAACAAAGAGAUAAGGCAGAUAAGCUACAAGUCUGCCUUUCUUCAUGGUCCAGUACACAGCCCUCCUGUGCAAAUAACUCACAGUCGUCCUUCCUGUGUCCAACUAUCACCAAACACCUGCAAGUUAGCUCACUGCAACCUUUGCCUUAUAGAUACUGCACAAAGCCAUCUUCAACAGACAGCAUAAAAACUAUUGUAUAAAUUAUCCAGCAAGCCUUUGUUUCCUGGCAGUCAGCUUCUCUGUUGCUGAUCCUGCCUUUUGCCUCCUCGAAAAGUAUUUUCAUACUUUUAAAAGUAAAUCUGCCUUUCUUUACAGCUGUCUUGGUAAAUUCUUUUACCCCCCUCGCCUCCCGCCCAGAUAGUCGUCCCUCCCCGGCGACAUCAACCUAAAAGAGAUUUUGAGAAUGAAUCUGAUGGUUUCCAAAGUAACUGAUCCAUACGAAAGUGUAUACAGCUGGGGAGUCGUCGGAGAAAGUCAAAAUCCGUCUACUCACCAGCCACCUUCAGAUGCACCAGGGCUUCUUCGUAGCUUCCAUCCUCCCUGAAAAAGCACGUGUACUCCCCGUCGUCAGAGACUCUGACGCCACGGAUCCUCAAGGCCACGCGCCCCUUGGCGAUGCCGUCCUGGACCAGCGUCGCCCGCCCGCGGUACUCGGGCAU